UAUGAAAAAUUAAUAAGUUCAUUAGUCUUUUGAUCAAUCUUCUAUUUGUAUUCGCCUUUGAUUUUGUCGAGAAUAUCUAUUUAUGACUUCAUCAAUGUCAAUGGAUAUUUCUUUAAGAAUAUUAAGUACUUCUAACCCAUUUAGCCUGUCUCCCGUCAUAAAAGAUUUCAUAUAAUUUGUAUUUGUCGUAGGGAAGAAAAUGAUCGUUCAGCUGUUGCUUAUGUUAUGGUGAUUGUUGCAAAAAUUUGUAGUAAAAUUUUAAUGUUUGGAUGAAAUACAUCACAAUGUACCCAGUGGCGUAACUAAAACUUCUAAUACCCGUUUCAAAACAUUGUAUAUUAACUAAAUUAUGGGCCAAGUGCAGGGCCGACGCUAUGUGGAGGAAUGUACGAACAUGUAUUAUCGGAAAUUAUACAAAAGUAAAAAAUAUGGUAUUACCAAAAUAUUUAUAGAUUCCGAUUCCUAUAAAGGCUUCGUGUAAAUGCUGAAAAACCAGAAAAAAAAACGCUCAAUCCCCAUCAAUAAUUGCUAGCCCUAUCUAUGUGCCAUUAUUUGAGUUGGGUCCCAAUUUACACAGUUUGGAGUCUGUUUUUAUACGUAUGUCCGUCCACGCAUGUUACUUGAUAAGCAAAACAAUGGUUAUCAUCGUCUAUUUUUUUUUUUUUGUUCGCCUGUCCAUUCACUGAAAAAUAAUGCCUUUGGGUCCCUAAAUGUCUUGGGGCCUAGGUUCAUUGCCCACUAUGCCACCUUCUCAGUACGCCAC